rnacentral:rRNA from 1 species
GAUGAACGCUGGCGGCGUGCCUAAUACAUGCAAGUAGAACGCUGAAGGAAGGAGCUUGCUCUUUCCGGAUGAGUUGCGAACGGGUGAGUAACGCGUAGGUAACCUGCCUGGUAGCGGGGGAUAACUAUUGGAAACGAUAGCUAAUACCGCAUAACAGUAGAUGUUGCAUGAUAUCUACUUAAAAGGUGCAAUUGCACCACUACCAGAUGGACCUGCGUUGUAUUAGCUAGUUGGUGAGGUAACGGCUCACCAAGGCGACGAUACAUAGCCGACCUGAGAGGGUGAUCGGCCACGCUGGGCCUGGGACACGGCCCGGACUCCUACGGGAGGCAGCAGUAGGGAAUCUUCGGCAAUGGACGGAAGUCUGACCGAGCAACGCCGCGUGAGUGAAGAAGGUUGUCGGAUCGUAAAGCUCUGUUGUAAGAGAAGAACGAGUGUGAGAGUGGAAAGUUCACACUGUGACGGUAUCUUACCAGAAAGGGACGGCUAACUACGUG